GAUGAACGCUGGCGGCGUGCCUAAUACAUGCAAGUCGAGCGAACGGACGAGAAGCUUGCUUCUCUGAUGUUAGCGGCGGACGGGGGAGUAACACGUGGAUAACCUACCUAUAAGACUGGGAUAACUUCGGGAAACCGGAGCUAAUACCGGAUAAUAUUUUGAACCGCAUGGUUCAAAAGUGAAAGACGGUCUUGCUGUCACUUAUAGAUGGAUCCGCGCUGCAUUAGCUAGUUGGUAAGGUAACGGCUUACCAAGGCAACGAUGCAUAGCCGACCUGAGAGGGUGAUCGGCCACACUGGAACUGAGACACGGUCCAGACUCCUACGGGAGGCAGCAGUAGGGAAUCUUCCGCAAUGGGCGAAAGCCUGACGGAGCAACGCCGCGUGAGUGAUGAAGGUCUUCGGAUCGUAAAACUCUGUUAUUAGGGAAGAACAGAUGUGUAAGUAACUGUGCACAUCUUGACGGUACCUAAUCAGAAAGCCACGGCUAACUACGUG
rnacentral:rRNA from 1 species